CCCGAAAGCAGACUGUGUGCUCCUUCUUCAGUAGGAGCCUAGCACGCCCGGCUCCCACUCGCCCCGCCCACGGGUCGCGACUUCCACUCGCCCCGCCCCCAGCCUGGGCGGAGACUGCGGGGUCGGGGAGCACAGGCCCCGGAUGUGUUGCGCGUAGUCGGGGACUCACGUAGAGGGAAUCUCGCAGAAAGGAGCCCAGGGGGAAGCCAAUGCGGGGCUUGAAGAGCUGAGAGCUUGCUUCCUUACACAAAUGUCUGUUAGAGGAAUUACUGGUUAACGCAGUUACAAACACGUUCAUGUUAUUCCCACGUUUGGCCACAUUUCUGUGCAGACUGCAAGCUGGGCUCUUCUGGUCCCGAGAGACCGUCAGAUCCCCCAGAAUGCUACAUGCGAAAGGCAUCGGCAGAGCAGAGAGCCAGAGCCGGAGCCAGAGCCGGAGCCGGGGGCUGUGAGGAGCUGAAGUGUGGGAGCAGCGAGGAUGCCGGAGCCGGAGCUGGAGCCAGAACCAGGGCCGUGAGGAGCCCAUGUGUGAGAGCCCCAAGCCCGCCCGCCCUCUCCCUCCCGUGACGUUCCAUCUUCAGCUUCGCUGCGAAGACCCAAGCCAGCUCUCAGACGUCCCUGAACCCUCGCCUCCAGGAAAGGUCUCUGUCUUUGCCAGGCUCCAGCUUGCCUCGGAAGAGAGACUCCGUCCUCCCCGAAAGGCUGGGCGCCUCCGAAAGUCCCGUCUGCUCCCCUCCUGCCCUGCGCCCUGCUCUCUCCACCACUUCCCUGUCCCAGGGCCUCUUCCUGCAUGGCCUGCACUCUCUGUGUCUAGAAUGAAAUCCUUCCACCUGUCUCCUGUCCUCCUUGUCGCCAUCGUCUGUUCUGCCCUCGAGCAUCUUGGAAGAGAGGCUCAAACUCACCACCUCCUCUUCCUCACCCACCCAUGACACUCUGCCCCCACCACCUCAUGGAAGCCACUCCCCUCCAAGCGUUCCAGAAUCUCCCUCCUAGUCACCAUUAUCAGUUCUGUGUUAUCUCUGUGAAAUGUGCCACCUGCCCCUUUAUUUAUGUGACACAUUUACGGGGCACUGGCCUCUCUGUUGCCCCUUGGCCAGCGUCCC